UGGGGAAUAUUGCGCAAUGGACGAAAGUCUGACGCAGCGACGCCGCGUGUGUGAAGAAGGCCUGCGGGUUGUAAAGCACUUUCGGUGGGAACGAAAUAUGCCGGGCUAAUACCCCGGUAGGCUGACGUUACUCAAUGAAGAAGCACCGGCUAACUCUGUGCCAGCAGCCGCGGUAAUACGUAGGGUGCGAGCGUUAAUCGGAAUUACUGGGCGUAAAGCGUGCGCAGGCGGUUUUGUAAGACAGACGUGAAAUCCCCGGGCUUAACCUGGGAACUGCGUUUGUGACUGCAAGGCUAGAGUAUGGCAGAGGGGGUAGAAUUCCACGUGUAGCAGUGAAAUGCGUAGAUAUGUGGAGGAAUACCGAUGGCGAAGGCAGCCCCCUGGGUCAAUACUGACGCUCAUGCACGAAAGCGUGGGGAGCAAACAGGAUUAGAUACCCUAGUAGUCCCUGAGCGGGCUGGCAAGGCGCAU
rnacentral:rRNA from 1 species